UGCUUGUCCACAGCAAUUCAAAGCAGAGAAGGAAACAAAAAUGGAUUACAAUUUUAUGGUGUUCAAAUAUUAUUCCUAUUAACCAAAGGUUUUCAUGUCAUUUACUUUUCACAGGCUUUAUUCCUUUGGGAAUUCUCACACUUAACGCAAAAAUGGCACUAUUAAUUUACCUAAUGAAGGAUUGUACUCUUGAAUGAUAUUCCACUGUAUAUUCAAUGUAGGUCAUAUUCGCAUCAAUUUCAUUUUCGGAAAACCACCAACUACUAAUUACUAAAACGAUUAAGUAGGAGAAACAAACCAAGAUGCUGGCUUAUAAUCGUCGUAAGAAUAACACAAGUAAAAAGCAUGGGGAUCGGGCGAAAUGAAAAUAGAAAACCACAAAAUGAUAUAAUGUCCCAUUGGAUAAGCCCCCACAUUCGCACAAAAAGGAACAGACAGCGAGCUUUAAAACAAUUAAUUAUAAAUUUAUGGGACGAUGUGAAGGGGGGGAGCCAAGAAGAAGGAACAAAAGCAGACAUUUAAAUAACUCGGUAAACAAAAGCCAACUGAAAAGGACGAAGGACAAAAAGGAGUGAAAAUGGAUUUCCAUUUAAGGCGGCAUGUUGAGCACAUUGUUUUUAUUAAGUGUCGCAUGAUAUGUGCGAUAAAUAUAUGUACACAUAUAUGUAUAUGUGUAUCCAAUGGUAAGCCCGCAGUGCCAGUCCAUUCACAUAAACACUUCGAGUGGCAACAUGACGUGCAACUAAUCCGUUGCCGUUGCCCAAAAAAUAUGUUACAAGUGGGCAGGAGUGUCCGGGGGUCGAGUGUCCGUAUCCGGAUUCAGCCGGACACUGGCGCCUAACACCGCAGUGCCCAAUUAAUUAUUUAAGGAUUACAUUCUUAAGUUCAUGCUAUCCACCUUAGAUGUGUAUUGGUGCUCGAAAAGUGCAAACAGCAAUGGCAACAGACUUUAGACCCACUGUGCCAAAGGGGACAUAAUAAAACAGCUGCCGACCCUGCACAAAGAUGAUGACUGCGACUCCUGAUGAUGAUGACCCCUUGACCCCCGCCCCGCCCCGCAUUCUAUAUAAUGCACGCUAAAUACAUAGUUUGAAAAUA